UACGAAGGGGGCUAGCGUUGCUCGGAAUCACUGGGCGUAAAGGGUGCGUAGGCGGGUCGCUAAGUCGGGUGUGAAAACUCUGGGCUCAACCCAGAGCCUGCAUUCGAAACUGACGGGCUAGAGUUCUGGAGGGGAAAGCGGAAUUCCUGGUGUAGCAGUGAAAUGCGUAGAUAUCAGGAGGAACACCAGUGGCGAAGGCGGCUCACUGGACCGGUUCUGACGCUGAGGCGCGAAAGCGUGGGGAGCAAACGGG
rnacentral:rRNA from 1 species